CCGGCCACCCAUCGUCUGAAAUGUGGGGAGCGCCUCUGCCCCAACGCCCCGUCUGGGAUGUGAGGAGCGCCUCUGCCCCGCCGCGACCCAGUCUGGGAGGUGAGGAGCGUCUCUGCCCAGCCGCCCCGUCUGAGAAGUGAGGAGACCCUCUGCCUGGCAACCGCCCCAUAUGAGAAGUCAGGAGUCCCUCCGCCCGGCAGCCACCUCAUCUGAGAAGUGGGUAAAGUAGCACAUCUUGGUGUCUGCCACAGUCCACUCCUUGCCAGGCAUGGAUCCUCCAUGUAUGUUCCAGGAGCAGCUCCUCCAGGGAUCCGGUGGAAUGACAGGACUGGCUGAAGAUCUAAGAGCAUAUUCACUUGGAUUUAUUCAGGAACAGUAACCAACUCAGAGACGUCUUUUUGCACUGAGAGGCUGCCCUUCAUGGAAACAGUAGAACAUCCCUGAGAUACAAGCUCAAGAGAUAUGGUAGGCUCUCAGGCUGGAAGGAAAACUCCAUUCUCUUAGUUAAGGAAAGGAAUGUUAAUGUUAUGGGAAGAGAAUGGCCUUUGAAGCCACAGAGCCUUCAGUUCCCUUCUCCUGCUGCACACUUAGAACACGUGAGACUUUGCAAAAGUCACUUAACUUUUCUGAGCUUUUCUUUCUUUCAUUAAAAGAGAAAUGAGAAUAGCACCUACUUCACAGUGCAAUUUGUCAUGCAAUUGAAGUAAUGUAACGCUUGUAAACAACAUACCACAGGGCCUGGCACAUUGUCAACAUGAGAUACUGUUCUGACAAGUAUGGUUUUAAAACCAUGAACCUGAUUUCGAGGGUACAUAUGUGUAUAUGCUCAUUAAGCCCUCCAAAGGGAGUCCAGAAAAGGUCUGAGGCCAGACUGUCCCAUGUAAGAUCUGCACAGGGUUCCCCUUUGAAGGGAGAUAUUCAUUCCAGCCCAUUAAUUUGGCUUAGUUUGUGAAAUCAACGAACAUCAUACUUUAGACACACCUCAUACAACCCUGUACCGCCAAGGUACUUUGUGUGCAGUAGCACUGCAACAAAUACUUGGCUGAUUAAUUCAUAAUUUGGGAACUUGGAUGGAACUCGGGGUGGUGGAGGAGUGAAUACUGUAGCCUGGCUCCCUCCACAUCUGCUGGCAACCUCCUUUAAGUAUUCUUUCUUUUGUGCUGAAGGCAUUGGAAAACUGAAAACAGUAUUUUCUAGAUUCCUCUGCAGCUAAAGAUUUGGAUGUGAUCUUGAUUUUAUAAUUAGACACACUUAGCAAUAUUUGAAUCAGGCCUAAGUUACGCAGGGAAGGUUGUUUUUUUUGUUUUGUUUUGUUUUUGUUUGUUUGUUUUGAGAUGGAGUCUUGCUCUGUCACCUACGCUGGAAUGCAAUGGCGUGAUCUUGGCUCACUGCAACCUCUGC
rnacentral:lncRNA from 10 species